CGAGUAGGCGGAUUGAUAAGUGAGGUGGUAAAGACAUGGGCUUAACCUGUGGGUGACACCUUAGACUGUGAGUCUAGAGAGCAGGAGAGGGGAGUGGAAUUUCCGGAGGAGCGGUAAAAUGCGUAGAUUUCGGAAGGAACACCGGUGGCGAAGGCGACUUUCUGGCCUGCAUCUGACGCUGAGGCGCGAAGGCGUGGGGAGCAAACAGGAUUAGAUACCCUGGUAGUCCACGCAGUAAACGAUGAAUACUAGACGUAGGUGGUGAUAAGGCCAUUUGUGUCGAAGCAAACGCGAUAAGUAUUCCGCCUGGGGAGUACGGCCGCAAGGUUGAA
rnacentral:rRNA from 1 species